GGUUCCAUAGUGUACCGGUUAGCACAUCUGCUUUACAUGCAGAAGGUCCUGGGUUUGUGCCCCAGUGGAGCCA
rnacentral:tRNA from 1 species